rnacentral:rRNA from 1 species
GAUGAACGCUGGCGGCGUGCCUAAUACAUGCAAGUCGAGCGAACAGACGAGGAGCUUGCUCCUCUGACGUUAGCGGCGGACGGGUGAGUAACACGUGGAUAACCUACCUAUAAGACGGGGAUAACUUCGGGAAACCGGAGCUAAUACCGGAUAAUAUAUUGAACCGCAGGGUUCAAUAGUGAAAGACGGUUUGGCUGUCACUUAUAGAUGGAUCCGCGCCGCAUUAGCUAGUUGGUAAGGUAACGGCUUACCAAGGCAACGAUGCGUAGCCGACCUGAGAGGGUGAUCGGCCACACUGGAACUGAGACACGGUCCAGACUCCUACGGGAGGCAGCAGUAGGGAAUCUUCCGCAAUGGGCGAAAGCCUGACGGAGCAACGCCGCGUGAGUGAUGAAGGUCUUCGGAUCGUAAAACUCUGUUAUUAGGGAAGAACAAAUGUGUAAGUAACUAUGCACGUCUUGACGGUACCUAAUCAGAAAGCCACGGCUAACUACGUG